GUCUACGGCCAUACCACGUUGAAAGCACCAGUUCUCGUCCGAUCACUGAAGUUAAGCAACGUCGGGCUCGGUUAGUACUUGGAUGGGNN
rnacentral:rRNA from 1 species